GUGCUCACUUCAGUAGCACAUACUCUAAAACUGGAACAAUACAAAGAAGAUUAGCAUGGCCUCUGUGCAAGGAUGACAUGCAAAUUUUGCCCACAACCCAAAAUCCC